GUGGCGGCCACCAAGGGCCCCUCCAGGGGCGCACUGGUCCGUUUGCUGUGUUUGUGUGUACACACAGCGAGACUGUUGAUAACCUCGAGCACUUUUCGUUUCUUGCCACGGGACAGCACAAGACAAUUAUGGGUGCCGACCGACGGUACCAUCUACGACAAUGGAGCAGGUGUGUGUGCUAGAUAAGCAUAGACAACCUCCUGGUGCUCCAACGUUGACAGGAUGUGUUUUUGUACUUGCUCGAAAAAGGAUGCAAAUCAAACUCACAUUAAGGGCGAAAGCGACGAGCAAAACAGAUACGAGCCGUGUUUGUGGCAAAUGGUGAGGUGAGAACACUAAAAACCAGAACUUCUCCUCGUGCGAGAUUAUGCGGAUGCCUCUACAGUCGGUAACGGAAAAAUACUUGGCUCAAUAGAAGGCUCUUUUAAGGUUGAAACAUCGAAUUAGAGAAAAAAAGCCAAUAAUUUAUUAAAAUAAACAAAACUGACACAUAUUA